rnacentral:rRNA from 1 species
UACGGAGGAUGCGAGCGUUAUCCGGAUUUAUUGGGUUUAAAGGGAACGCAGGCGGUCUUUUAAGUCUGAUGUGAAAGCCUUCGGCUUAACCGGAGUAGUGCAUUGGAAACUGGGAGACUUGAGUGCAGAAGAGGAGAGUGGAACUCCAUGUGUAGCGGUGAAAUGCUUAGAUAUCACGAAGAACCCCGAUUGCGAAGGCAGCCUGCCGCAGCGUUACUGACGCUGAAGCUCGAAAGCGCGGGUAUCGAACAGG